rnacentral:rRNA from 1 species
UACGGAGGGUGCAAGCGUUGUCCGGAAUCACUGGGCGUAAAGGGCGCGCAGGCGGCUCAUUUUGUCAGGCGUGAAAGCCCCGGGCUUAACCUGGGAACUGCGUUUGAUACGGAUGGGCUAGAGUUCGGGAGAGGAGAGUGAAAUUCCCAGUGUAGAGGUGAAAUUCGUAGAUAUUGGGAAGAACACCGGUGGCGAAGGCGACUUACUGGACACAUAUUGACGCUGAGGUGCGAAAGCGUGGGGAGCAAACAGG